rnacentral:rRNA from 1 species
AUUGAACGCUGGCGGCAUGCCUUACACAUGCAAGUCGAACGGUAACGCGGGGCAACCUGGCGACGAGUGGCGAACGGGUGAGUAAUGCAUCGGAACGUGCCUGGUAGUGGGGGAUAACUGCUCGAAAGAGCAGCUAAUACCGCAUACGACCUGAGGGUGAAAGGGGGGGAUCGCAAGACCUCUCGCUAUCAGAGCGGCCGAUGUCGGAUUAGCUAGUUGGUGGGGUAAAAGCCCACCAAGGCGACGAUCCGUAGCUGGUCGGGGAGGACGACCAGCCACACUGGGACUGAAACACGGCCCAGACUCCUACGGGAGUCAGCAGUGGGGAAUUUUGGACAAUGGACGCAAGUCUGUUCCAGCCAUGCCGCGUGCGGGAAGAAGGCCUUCGGGUUGUAAACCGCUUUUGUCAGGGAAGAAACGCUCUGGGUUAAUACCUCGGGGUAAUGACGGUACCUGAAGAAUAAGCACCGGCUAACUACGUGCCAGCAGCCGCCGUAACAC